ACCAGUCAUCUAGUCCUGAAUCUGUGUUGUAAUAAUUAAUGCAGAGUCUUUCUGUAGAGCUCAUCCAGACUUAAAACUCAAAAUCCUGUUCUGGCCUUCUAAGUGCUGGGAUUGCAGGUAUGUACCACCAUACUCGGCUCCAAACCUAGACUCUUGGCCACUCAGGUCCCUGCACACAAACACUCUCCCUGGUGUCCUUUUAUAUGCUUUACAAUUACUUCACACUUUACAUGUCCUUGAUUGUAUAGUCACUCAAAUACCUUCUUCUCCAUCUGUAAUAACUGUUGGCAGGGCAUACACAGUCUUAUUCUAUAGGGUUAAACUCUGGUGAGACUUCUGCUGAAGUCUUUAUAUAACCUUCAAAUUUCUUUGAGCUGUGUUUGCUUCUUUUUAGAACUGAUGGCAAUAAUUGUAGGUGCCACUGGCAUGUAGCCCAUUGGAGAACCACAGUUAUAGCCUCUGUGGUGCUUUGAAAGAAAAUGGCCCCCAAAAGGAGUGGCACUAUUAGGAGAUGUUGCCUUGGAGGAAGUGUGUCUCUGUGGAGGCAGGCUUUGAGUUGUUAUAUAUGCUGAAGCCACGCCCAGCGUUUUAGACCACUUCCUGUUGUCUGCAUAUCAAGAUAUAGGACUCCUAGCUACUUCUCCAGCAUCAUGUCUGCCUGCUUGCCACUAUGUCACACUAUGAUUAUAGUGGACUAAACCUUCGAAAGUACAUGGAAUUCAUCAGGGUGGCCGUACUGGCUGAUUUUGUGAGUCCACCUGACACAAGUUAGAAUCAUCAGAGAGGAAGGAAGGAAGGAGCCUCGACUGAGGAAAUGCCUCCAUGAGAUCCAGCUGUAAGCUCCUGGCUCCAGGAUCCUGCCCUGUUUGAAUUUCUGUCCUGAC
rnacentral:lncRNA from 1 species